rnacentral:miRNA from 1 species
GAUGACUGGAUGUGUAGAGCGC